ACACGUGAAAGGAGGUGGUCCGAGAAUUUGAUUAGCUCAUGGACAAGUGAGGUGGCUGCCCGCUAGCAGCACCGGGUGUUUACCAGCGUGCGCUGGCGAAUUCCCAGCAGUCACCCGGCCCCCGAGCCCCUCGGUCCGUCCAACCAGGAACCAACGGCUCGGGGGCCGCUCCAU
rnacentral:sRNA from 1 species